AGUGGCGGACGGGUGAGUAACGCGUGAGGAUCUGCCCUUAGGUUGGGGAUAACAGUUGGAAACGACUGCUAAUACCCAAUGUGCCGAGAGGUGAAAGGUUUACUGCCUGAGGAUGAGCUCGCGUCCGAUUAGCUAGUUGGUGGGGUAAUGGCGUACCAAGGCGACGAUCGGUAGCUGGUCUGAGAGGAUGAUCAGCCACACUGGGACUGAGACACGGCCCAGACUCCUACGGGAGGCAGCAGUGGGGAAUUUUCCGCAAUGGGCGAAAGCCUGACGGAGCAAGACCGCGUGCGGGAGGACGGCCUGUGGGUUGUAAACCGCUUUUGACAGGGAAGAAGCUCUAACGGUACCUGUCGAAUCAGCAUCGGCUAACUCCGUGCCAGCAGCCGCGGUAAUACGGAGGAUGCAAGCGUUAUCCGGAAUUAUUGGGCGUAAAGCGUCCGUAGGUGGUUGAGUAAGUCUGCUGUUAAAGCGUGGAGCUUAACUCCAUAUCGGCAGUGGAAACUACUUGACUCGAAUGCGGUAGGGGUCAGGGGAAUUCCCAGUCUAGCGGUGAAAUGCGUAGAUAUUGGGAAGAACACCGGUGGCGAAAGCGCCUGACUGGGCCUGCACUGACACUGAGGGACGAAAGCUAGGGGAGCGAAAGGGAUUAGAUACCCCUGUAGUCUUAGCUGUAAACGAUGGGCACUAGGCGUUG
rnacentral:rRNA from 1 species